CGGGGUGAGUAAUGUAUGGGGACCUGCCCGAUAGAGGGGAAUAACUACUGGAAACGGUGGCUAAUACCGCAUAAUGUCUACGGACCAAAGCAGGGGCUCUUCGGACCUUGCACUAUCGGAUGAACCCGUAUGGGAUUAGCUAGUAGGUGGGGUAAAGGCUCACCUAGGCGACGAUCUCUAGCUGGUCUGAGAGGAUGAUCAGCCACACUGGGACUGAGACACGGCCCAG
rnacentral:rRNA from 1 species